UUACGUGACGAAGCGCGCGCCAAAGUAGAGAAUAAAGCCUGAGUUACUACUGAGUCGCCUAACGCCGGUUAACCGGCGUUUUUUA
rnacentral:sRNA from 1 species